rnacentral:piRNA from 1 species
UGACAAAUGGCUAGCUGCAAGAUUA